rnacentral:rRNA from 1 species
UGGGGAAUAUUGCACAAUGGGGGAAACCCUGAUGCAGCGACGCCGCGUGAGCGAAGAAGGCUUUCGAGUCGUAAACCUCUGUCCUAGGAGAAGAUAAUGACGGUAUCAUAGGAGGAAGCCCUGGCUAAAUACGUGCCAGCAGCCGCGGUAAUACGUAUGGGGCGAGCGUUGUCCGGAAUUAUUGGGCGUAAAGGGUACGUAGGCGGUUUUUUAAGUCAGGUGUCAAAGCGUGGAGCUUAACUCCAUUAAGCACUUGAAACUGAAAGACUUGAGUGAAGGAGAGGAAAGUGGAAUUCCUAGUGUAGCGGUGAAAUGCGUAGAUAUUAGGAGGAACACCAGUAGCGAAGGCGGCUUUCUGGACUGCAACUGACACUGAGGCACGAAAGCGUGGGUAGCAAACAGG